rnacentral:piRNA from 1 species
UGCGGUAUAACCUGCAAGCAUCCCCGCC